AUAAAUAUUUUUUUGACACUAUAAAGUGAUGAAAUAAUUCCUAUUUCUAGAUUCAUAAAAAAGAUAUGGUUAAAGUUUAUAUGUUAAUUUAUGGGGUGAUUAUCUUUUUUUCCAUAUUUAUUUCUACAAUAAAUUGUGGUAAGUAAAUUUUAUCAAUGCUUUUAAAUUCGGUGAAACAGUACAUUAAAAUUUAAAUUUAAUUUUUAAAUAAAUUUUGUCUAAAAGAUACUGAUAACAAAAACAUUACCUUUAAAUUUUAUCAUUCAAAAUUAUUUGACACCCAUUUUAAUAACGUUCCUCAAUUCUUAUUAGCUGUGAUUGCCUGCGAAGAACAUGUGGGUUGUCUAAGUUAUAAGUGUACCCUUCCUGCUGUUCCACUCUGCUCGUUUUCAGUUUCAAAGCCAGAAGGAUUUGGGAUAUGUAGAUGUUUCCGGAAGAUCACAGUGCACAAUAGUGGCUUGUGAAUGUGUGAAGAAGCGGUAAAAGUUAUUUACUAUCUCUAGUCCUAUUUAUAAGAAAUAGAUGAAUUUUUUUAUGUUUAUUAAAUAAUAUAAUUGAUAUAUUUAAUCUAUAUAAUAAGAUUAAAUACAUCAAUUAUUUAAUAAACGUAAAAUAUGAGUUGUUUUUUAUAAAAAAGAUAGGAUAGAGUAAAAUAAACUAAAAUUAUGUUAGUGCUUUUAUGAUUUAUUUUACAGUUAUAUUUUUGGAAUUUCAUCUUUUUUAACGUGAAUAAAUGAAGUGUUUAGGUUUUUAAAAACAAAAUGAAGUGUUUAGGGUGUGUAAAAAAAUUGUAGUGUCUAUAGUUCAAAUUCUGACUUUUGCAUAUAAAAUGUGAAGACCCUGCUAAGUGAACUAAAAUUAAGAGAACUUUCAAAAUCAUUAUGAUUCGAUUCUCCAAAAAGCACCAAGCCAUGAUUUUAUCAAGUAGAUGGAUUCAACCACCAAAGAUUUAAAUCAAAACAUGUGCAUUGCCUUCAACCACCAAGCCAUGAUUUUAUCAAGCAUUAAUCUUUAGACAAUUAUGGAUGAAACUUAUGAAACUAAGUUUGCUAUGGCACUGAGAAUUUGUGACCUACUAUGGAUGAAACUUAUGCUAGAAGAUUUUAAGAUAAAAUUUUAAGGCCCAAUGAAACUUAGUUUGGUAUAUUGUAUAAAAUUUUAUUCAACCCAUUAAUUAUGUCCAAUAGUGUAUUACAUUCGAAAUUAAAAAAUUGAAAAAUUAUUCUCCAAUUCUACAUAUUGACUUACAAAUGGAACAAAAAAUAUUCCAGGUUGCAAUUGGUAAUUAAGCAUAUGGCUUACACACUUAACAUGCAUCAAUCUAAAGAUUAUAUCACUUUAAUUUGUUUGAUUCUUUGCUGUUUUUUCGAACGUGUACGCUGAAUUGUAAAGACAUAUGCCAAUGUGGCAGAAAACAAGUGAUGCACACACUCUAAUCAUAAGUGUUUCACACUCCUUCAGUGGCAUGUUUGUGUUCAGCAACUUCUCUUUUCACUAUAUAAACACCAACUUCCAACUCAAACACAACACACCACAACUUCUAACUUUCUCGUAGCAAAUUAAAUUAUCUUAUUUUCAACUUAAAUGGAAUCCAUUUCCAUGGCCUUUGUAACAAUGAGAAUUAAGAACGGAUGUGUUACUGAAGGUGAGUGGUUGGGUUAUUGUAGAUCUGGAGUUUGCAUUGAAGAACAUUUUCAAAAUAGGUAUCGAGAUUCAUAUAGGGAAGGUGACGAUGAUGAUGACGGCAGCUAUGACUAUGCUCCUGCUGCUUAAAAUCAAAGAUUUCUUAAACGUGUUUUAUGCGGAAUUUUGGUCUAAGUCCACUGGAAAAAUGCAAAUUUCUAGUAGUGGAAUGUGUUACCUAACUAAAGUUAGCUAAUAGUAAUAGUAUUGUUAACAAAAUGUAUGCUGCAAAUCUUUGUUUAUUCAAAAGGCUAAUUAUGGUCAUAGAACAGUCUUGAGCUAGCAUGUUUUAAUUUCCCAUUUGAGCAUUAGGCUAUGUCAAUUGUGAAAUGGGUUAAUUUUUGUUUUUUUGAAUGGCAAAUGUAUUUUUACAUUAAUAUAAAAAUGAAAAAAAAAUAUAUAAGAAAAAGUUCAUAAC
rnacentral:lncRNA from 1 species